GUUAAACCCGAUGAACCUGAAUAUCCAUUAUGGAAAAUUCAUCACUAAUAAUAUAAUAUGAAAAAAAUAUUUUAAAAAUAGUGUGCAAUUUUUCCAUAUAAGGACAUUGUAAUCUGUUAAUGUUAUAAAUAUUUAUCAUAAGAUCCAUUACACUAGUUUAUUCAAAUUGAUUAUUUUUCGGAUAAUUAACAUAGAAUAAAUGUUUUGGAUUUGAUAAAUCAUUGACAGAUAUAAUUAUAUAAUGUGCUUAAAUUUUUCGGAAUUUUAUCAAUGGUAGUAAAUAUUUUAUUUUCUAUUUAAUUGAUAUGCACUAUUAUGAUUAACAAUGCGAGAGAUUCAGGAUACCUUCGGGACCCGUCUUGAAACACGGACCAAGGAGUCUAACAUAUGUGCAAGUCAUUGGGUAUUUUUAAUAAAACCCAAUGGCGUAAUUAACUUAACUGCUAAUUAAUGGGAUUAAUUUAUAUUUUGUUAUGAAAUAUUUAUUCAAUCCCGGGGCGUUCUAUAUAGUUAUGUAUAAUAAUAUUUAUAUUAUUUAUACCUCUAACUUGAGC
rnacentral:rRNA from 1 species